GGAGGCAGGGAUUGAAUAUGUUGAAGGCUAUGGUGAACUCGAGGAGGAAGAAGAAGAAGAAGAUAUGGAAGAUUAUUAUGGCUUCCUAUUUAAGGAGUCUCACCUUGACGAUCAUGGCUCGGAAGAUGAGGAUGGUGAUGACGCUGCGGAGCAAGUUGUGAUUCACAGAAAAGGAAGAGCUUUAAGGAAGUCUGUUGAUAAUGGAAAGUCUAAGAAGAAACCAAGAGUAGUUGUUGUUGAGGUCGAGCAAGAAGAUGGAGAUACGAGGCAAAGCCUGAAUCUUUGAGAAGAAAGUUGAAGUGCUGAUUCUUUUUAAGUUAACUAGAGAAUGCAAAAUUUUAAGGCCUUUG